rnacentral:rRNA from 1 species
GACGUAGGGGACGAGCGUUGUCCGGAUUCAUUGGGCGUAAAGAGCGCGUAGGCGGCCGUGCAAGUCGGAUGUGAAAAUCCGGGGCUCAACCCCGGACGUGCAUCCGAUACUGCUCGGCUAGAGGUAGGUAGGGGAGAUCGGAAUUCCAGGUGUAGCGGUGAAAUGCGUAGAUAUCUGGAGGAACACCGGUGGCGAAGGCGACAUCCUGGACCGGUAUUGACGCUGAGGCGCGAAAGCGUGGGGAGCAAACGGG